UAUCAGGGUUGUCACAAUAUAGUAAAGUAUCACAGGUAUCAUCCUAUCAGGGUUGUCACAAUAUAGUAAAGUAUCACAGGUAUCAUCCUAUCAGGGUUGUCACAGUAUAGUAAAGUAUCACAGGUAUCAGGGUUGUCACAAUAUAGUAAAGUAUCACAGGUAUCAUCCUAUCAGGGUUGUCACAAUAUAGUAAAGUAUCACAGGUAUCAUCCUAUCAGGGUUGUCACAGUAUAGUAAAGUAUCACAGGUAUCAGGGUUGUCACAAUAUAGUAAAGUAUCACAGGUAUCAUCCUAUCAGGGUUGUCACAAUAUAGUAAAGUAUCACAGGUAUCAUCCUAUCAGGGUUGUCACAGUAUAGUAAAG